CCUCACAAAUUUUUCAAGUGGAUUUUCAAACAUUUUAAACCCUAUACCUUUUUUCUCACAAAAACAUUUUAUUCAGAAUUAUGGAAAUUAGAACCAAUCACAGAUAGGACUACUUUAGCACAACCAAAACCACCCGUCUUGUCACCCUCACUUCUUAAGACCUCUUAAGGUCCGUAACGUUUCUUCAAGAUUCAUAAUAAAAUCAGAGCAAGCCCUGUAAUAUUGCUUCAGCAAAGCAUGACGUAUCAAUUGCACCAUCUGGGGAGAAACCUAUGUGGUCUUAUACAUGAAAUCUAUGCUAUUUCAAUUGAACUCCCACAGCUAACUUCACCCCAAUAUUUUAGCCACACUAAGACUAUGGGAAGGAACAAGCACUCAGAAAUGCAGGGUGGUCAGCCAAUUUGCAUAAUAUGAAUUCAAUAGGUUUAAAAUUUUUUAUUUAACAUUUAUUUAGAGAAGAAGCUGUUAGUCUCAUGGGGGCAGGGUAGGGUAGGUUAAAGCCAGUGAUGGGGCCUCAGCUCUGCUCUGCAAAACCUACUUUACAAAUUAAAGCUCCUCUUUUAAGUUGGACCCACCCUCUGACAGAGACAGUUUAAUGACCAUCUGUUUUUAUUCAAAAUACUCCUUGGGGGAAGGAGGCAUCUCACCUCACACUCCAAGCGGCUUAUCAAAGUAUUUCCUUCCAACCAAAGACAAACAUGUUCCCUGAGAAGAGAGCUGGUAGAUAUUUUCUUUCUUCAUUUUUUUACAUGUCCUGGAAUGGUUCAGCAACCUAAUAAUGUUUUAUCAAUCCUCGUGAGCACUUCUCUCAGAUCCUGGCUUUCAUGCAUGUCCGUGUGAAGAGACCACCAAACAGGCUUUGUGUGAGCAACAUGGCUGUUUAUUUCACCUGGGUGCAGGUGGGCUGAGUCCGAAGAGAGUCAGCGAAGGGAGAUAAGGGUGGAGCCAUUUCAUAGGAUUCGGGUAGGUAAAGGAAAAUUACAGUCAAAGAGGGUUUAUUCUCUGGCGGGCAGGAGUGGGGGUCACAAAGUGCUCUGUGGGGGUGCUUUUGAGCCAGGAUGAGCCAGGAAAAGGACUUUCACAAGGUAAUGUCAUCACUUAAGGCAAGGACCGGCUUGACUAUGCCUUUGGCUCC
rnacentral:lncRNA from 1 species